rnacentral:lncRNA from 1 species
AUCAGUUCAUCUCCUGAAAUUUUUGAUCCAGGAGAUCAUCUCGACUGCGAGUCUCGAGGGUCUUCUGGCAGAACAGAGGUAGGGACCCUCCGGGGGUAGAAUCGUGAUCAGACGGAGGGCUCUCUGCCCUUUGCUUCCCCUUUCCGGGGAAGACAGGGUGACUGGACCAAGUUGGUCGCCCGAUCGUCAGAUUCUGAAACUCCGACGAUGCUCUUUCCAACCUUACAGAUGCCUGCGGCUACUGCUGCAUGGCUUGCACCACUUCGGUGAGGUCCUUGACUUGCUGAACUAGCAGGUCGAACUGCUCCAUGCCGACUGUCGUUGCCGGAGGGGGAGGAGCCUGGGAAACUGGAGACGAGGCCAGAGCUUGCGAAUCUCACUGAGAUCUGGCCAUGGAGGUCGUAGAUCGCUUGGUGGAUGCCUUUCGAGGAGGCAUCAGGCGAAGAUCUAGC